rnacentral:rRNA from 1 species
GACGAACGCUCGGCGGCGCGCCUAACACAUGCAAGUCGAACGAGCGAGAGAGAGCUUGCUUUCUCGAGCGAGUGGCGAACGGGUGAGUAACGCGUGAGGAACCUGCCUCAAAGAGGGGGACAACAGUUGGAAACGACUGCUAAUACCGCAUAAUGCUUUUGAGCGGCAUCGCUUGAAAGCCAAAGAUUUAUCGCUGAAAGAUGGUCUCGCGUCUGAUUAGCUAGUUGGUGAGGUAACGGCUCACCAAGGCGACGAUCAGUAGCCGGUCUGAGAGGAUGAACGGCCACAUUGGGACUGAGAUACGGCCCAG